rnacentral:rRNA from 1 species
AUGAAAAUCACAAAAAAAAUGUUUGUUUCUCUGCCUUUUGUACUAAUGGAGAGGGAAAGUCACAAAAAAAUGUUUGUUUUUAGGGUCGAGCAGUCAGUUGGUUUGUUGCUCACUCAGAAAUGUUUUUGGUUUUGGGGGGUUCGAUGUGUACAUUGUGCAUCAGCAUACACUGCUAGCUGCCCGUGGAGAUCAGCACUAAAGAAUAAACAAAUCCUGAAGGAGGGGCCCAGCCUUCUUCACGGCUCGCAGCAAUGUCUCCCAUUGAUUCGUUCGUGCAACAAGGAGAGGACCUGUAACAUCCCAAAAUUCUAA